UACAGAGGUCCCGAGCGUUGUUCGGAUUUAUUGGGCGUAAAGGGUGCGUAGGCGGCGGAGUAAGUUGGGUGUGAAAUCCUGGGGCUCAACCUCGGAAUGGCAUUCAAUACUGCUUCGCUCGAGUACUGGAGAGGAGGCUGGAAUUUACGGUGUAGCAGUGAAAUGCGUAGAUAUCGUAAGGAAGGCCGGUGGCGAAAGCGAGCCUCUGGACAGUUACUGACGCUGAUGCACGAAGGCCAGGGGAGCAAACGGG
rnacentral:rRNA from 1 species